rnacentral:rRNA from 1 species
AGAGUUUGAUUCUGGCUCAGGAUGAACGCUAGCUACAGGCUUAACACAUGCAAGUCGAGGGGAAACGACAUCGAAAGCUUGCUUUUGAUGGGCGUCGACCGGCACACGGGUGAGUAACGCGUAUCCAACCUGCCCACCACUUGGGGAUAACCUUGCGAAAGUAAGACUAAUACCCAAUGAUAUCUCUAGAAGACAUCUGAAAGAGAUUAAAGAUUUAUCGGUGAUGGAUGGGGAUGCGUCUGAUUAGCUUGUUGGCGGGGUAACGGCCCACCAAGGCAACGAUCAGUAGGGGUUCUGAGAGGAAGGUCCCCCACAUUGGAACUGAGACACGGUCCAAACUCCUACGGGAGGCAGCAGUGAGGAAUAUUGGUCAAUGGACGAGAGUCUGAACCAGCCAAGUAGCGUGCAGGAAGACGGCCCUAUGGGUUGUAAACUGCUUUUAUAGGGGAAUAAAGUGAGUCUCGUGAGACUUUUUGCAUGUACCUUAUGAAUAAGGACCGGCUAAUUCCGUGCCAGCAGCCGCGGUAAUACGGAAGGUCCGGGCGUUAUCCGGAUUUAUUGGGUUUAAAGGGAGCGUAGGCCGGAGAUUAAGCGUGUUGUGAAAUGUAGAUGCUCAACAUCUGAACUGCAGCGCGAACUGGUUUCCUUGAGUACGCACAAAGUGGGCGGAAUUCGUGGUGUAGCGGUGAAAUGCUUAGAUAUCACGAAGAACUCCGAUUGCGAAGGCAGCUCUCUGGAGCGCAACUGACGCUGAAGCUCGAAAGUGCGGGUAUCGAACUGGAUUAGAUACCCUGGUAGUCCG